rnacentral:rRNA from 1 species
UGGGGAAUAUUGCGCAAUGGGCGAAAGCCUGACGCAGCGACGCCGCGUGAGGGAUGAAGGUUUUCGGAUCGUAAACCUCUGUCAGAAGGGAAGAAACCGCACUGUGCUAAUCAGCAGUGCCUUGACGGUACCUUCAAAGGAAGCACCGGCUAACUCCGUGCCAGCAGCCGCGGUAAUACGGAGGGUGCAAGCGUUAAUCGGAAUUACUGGGCGUAAAGCGCACGUAGGCUGCUUUGUAAGUCAGGGGUGAAAUCCCACGGCUCAACCGUGGAACGGCCUUUGGUACUGCUUAGCUUGAAUCCGGGAGUGGGUGGCGGAAUUCCGGGUGUAGGAGUGAAAUCCGUAAAUAUCUGGAGGAACAUCAGUGGCGAAGGCGGCCCCCUGGACCGGUAUUGACGCUGAGGUGCGAAAGCGUGGGGAGCAAACAGG